rnacentral:tRNA from 1 species
GCCGGGGAUGGGCGAUCUAGGUUCGCCCGCCGAGCCGAGAACUUGGUAUCCGAAAGGAUUACGGGGUUCAAAUCCCCGCCCCGGCG